rnacentral:rRNA from 1 species
GACGAACGCUGGCGGCGUGCUUAACACAUGCAAGUCGAACGGAAAGGCCCUGAUUUUGUGGGGUGCUCGAGAGGCGAACGGGGGAGUGACACGUGAGUAACCUCCACUUGACUUUGUGAUAACUUCAGGAAAAUGGGGCUCAUACCGGGUAUGAGCUCCUGCUGCAUGGUGGGGGUUGGAAAGUGUCGGCGGUUGGGGAUGGACUGGCGGGUUAUCAGCUUGUUUGGCGGGUAGUGGUUGACCAAGGCUUUGACGGGUAGCCGGCCUGAGAGAGUGACCGGGGACAUUGGGACUGAGAGACGGAGCAGUAGCGUACGGGAGGCAGCAGGGGAGAGUAUGGCACAAUGGGGCGAAGCGUGAGGCAGAAACGUCGCGUGCGGGAUGACCGGUUACGGGUUGUAAACAGAUUUCGCAGGUGACGAAGCGUGAGUGACGGUAAUGGGUCAAGAAGCACCGGCUAACUACGUG